rnacentral:rRNA from 1 species
AACGAACGCUGGCGGCAGGCCUAACACAUGCAAGUCGAGCGCACUCUUCGGAGUGAGCGGCGGACGGGUUAGUAACGCGUGGGAACGUACCCAGAUCUACGGAAUAGCCUCGGGGAACUGAGAGUAAUACCGUAUACGCCCUUCGGGGGAAAGAUUUAUCGGAUUUGGAUCGGCCCGCGUUAGAUUAGAUAGUUGGUGAGGUAACGGCUCACCAAGUCUACGAUCUAUAGCUGGUUUUAGAGGAUGAUCAGCAACACUGGGACUGAGACACGGCCCAGACUCCUACGGGAGGCAGCAGUGGGGAAUCUUGGACAAUGGGCGCAAGCCCGAUCCAGCCAUGCCGCGUGAGUGAUGAAGGCCUUAGGGUCGUAAAGCUCUUUCGCCAGAGAUGAUAAUGACAGUAUCUGGUAAAGAAACCCCGGCUAACUCCGUGCCAGCAGCCGCGGUAAUACGGAGGGGGUUAGUGUUGUUCGGAAUUACUGGGCGUAAAGCGCGCGUAGGCGGACCAGAAAGUUAGGGGUGAAAUCCCGGGGCUCAACCCCGGAACUGCCUCUAAAACUCCUGAUCUAGAGUUCGAGAGAGGUGAGUGGAAUUCCGAGUGUAGAGGUGAAAUUCGUAGAUGUUCGGAGGAACACCAGUGGCGAAGGCGGCUCACUGGCUCGAUACUGACGCUGAGGUGCGAAAGUGUGGGGAGCAAACAGGAUUAGAUACCCUGGUAGUCCACACCGUAAACGAUGAAUGCCAGUCGUCGGGUAGCAUGCUAUUCGGUGACACACCUAACGGAUUAAGCAUUCCGCCUG